GUGAGUAGUUCAGAGUUUGAUCCUGGCUCAGGAUGAACGCUGGCGGCGUGCUUAACACAUGCAAGUCGAACGAAGCGAUUAAGCGGAAGUUUUCGGAUGGAAGCUUGAUUGACUGAGUGGCGGACGGGUGAGUAACGCGUGGGUAACCUGCCUCAUACAGGGGGAUAACAGUUAGAAAUGACUGCUAAUACCGCAUAAGCGCACAGGACCGCAUGGUCCGGUGUGAAAAACUCCGGUGGUAUGAGAUGGACCCGCGUCUGAUUAGCUAGUUGGUGGGGUAACGGCCUACCAAGGCGACGAUCAGUAGCCGACCUGAGAGGGUGACCGGCCACAUUGGGACUGAGACACGGCCCAA
rnacentral:rRNA from 1 species